GACGGAAGGUGCAAGCGUUGCUCGGAAUCACUGGGCGUAAAGGGUGCGUAGGCGGCCGUGCAAGUCUGGCGUGAAAGCCCCGGGCUCAGCCCGGGAAGUGCGCUCGAAACUGCGCGGCUCGAGUGCCGGAGGGGAGAGUGGAAUUCCUGGUGUAGCGGUGAAAUGCGUAGAUAUCAGGAGGAACACCGGUGGCGAAGGCGGAUCUCUGGGCAUUACCUGACGCUGAGGAGCGAAAGUGUGGGGAGCGAACAGG
rnacentral:rRNA from 1 species